rnacentral:rRNA from 1 species
CAGCAGCCACGGUAAUACGGAGGGUGCAAGCGUUAAUCGGAAUUACUGGGCGUAAAGCGUGCGUAGGCGGUUCGUUAAGUCUGUUGUGAAAGCCCCGGGCUCAACCUGGGAAUGGCAAUGGAUACUGGCGAGCUAGAGUGUGUCAGAGGAUGGUGGAAUUCCCGGUGUAGCGGUGAAAUGCGUAGGGACCGGGAGGAACAUCAGUGGCGAAGGCGGCCAUCUGGGACAACACUGACGCUGAGGCACGAAAGCGUGGGGAGCAAACAGGAUUAGAUACCCCUGUAGUCCCUGUCUCUUAUAA